AUUGAACGCUGGCGGCAUGCCUUACACAUGCAAGUCGAACGGUAACAGGUCUUCGGAUGCUGACGAGAGGCGAACGGGUGAGUAAUACAUCGGAACGUGCCCAGACGUGGGGGAUAACGAGGCGAAAGCUUUGCUAAUACCGCAUACGAUCUAAGGAUGAAAGCAGGGGACCGCAAGGCCUUGUGCGUUUGGAGCGGCCGAUGGCAGAUUAGGUAGUUGGUGGGAUAAAAGCUUACCAAGCCGACGAUCUGUAGCUGGUCUGAGAGGACGACCAGCCACACUGGGACUGAGACACGGCCCAGACUCCUACGGGAGGCAGCAGUGGGGAAUUUUGGACAAUGGGCGAAAGCCUGAUCCAGCAAUGCCGCGUGCAGGAUGAAGGCCUUCGGGUUGUAAACUGCUUUUGUACGGAACGAAAAGGCUCUGGCUAAUACCUGGGGCACAUGACGGUACCGUAAGAAUAAGCACCGGCUAACUACGUG
rnacentral:rRNA from 1 species